rnacentral:sRNA from 1 species
GACCUACUCUGUGGAGUACCUGGACAGCAGCAAGCUGGCAGGGUACCUGCACACACUGGUGCAGAACCUGGUCAACAACGGCUACGUGCGGGACGAGACUGUGCGCGCCGCCCCCUAUGACUGGCGGCUGGAGCCCGGCCAGCAGGAGGAGUACUACCGCAAGCUCGCAGGGCUGGUGGAGGAGAUGCACGCUGCCUAUGGGAAGCCUGUCUUCCUCAUUGGCCACAGCCUCGGCUGUCUACACUUGCUCUAUUUCCUGCUGCGCCAGCCCCAGGCCUGGAAGGACCGCUUUAUUGAUGGCUUCAUCUCUCUUGGGGCUCCCUGGGGUGGCUCCAUCAAGCCCAUGCUGGUCUUGGCCUCAGGUGAGAAGGCCUCGAACACUUAGGUCCAGCGAUGGGUGAGACCAAGCUGAUCCUGGGCCUGCCUUCAUUGCGGCUCCUGCUCACAGUGGCCUCUAGGGGUGCUAUCUACCACUCCUGGGCUGGCAUGCUUGCUGUCACUGGCCCCCAGAGCAGUGACCCUGGCCUGAGCAAUUAGGGUGGCUCCUUCCAGAGUCUGUGUCAGUGAU